rnacentral:rRNA from 1 species
AUUGAACGCUGGCGGCAGGCCUAACACAUGCAAGUCGAACGAGAGGCGGACGGGUGAGAGAUACCUGUGAAAAUGCCUGACGUCGGGGGAUAACUACUGGAAACAAUAGCUACUACCACCUACCCUCAGCAGUGCCCCGAUGGGUUUAGCUAGUGGGUGGGGUAACGGCUCACCUAGGCGACGAUCCCUACCUGUUCUGAGAGGAUUACCAGCCACACUGGAACUGAUACACGGGCCAGACUCCUACGGGAGGCAGCAGUGGGGAAUAUUGCACAAUGGGCGCAAUCCGGAGGCAGCCAUGCCGCGUGGUUGAAGAAGGCCUUCGGGUUGUAAAGCACUUUCAGCGGGGAGGCGUUACCCGCAUAAGAAGCACCGGCUAACUCCGUGCCAGCAGCCGCGGUAAUUC